rnacentral:rRNA from 1 species
GACGAACGCUGGCGGCGUGCUUAACACAUGCAAGUCGAGCGGUAAGGCCCUUUUGGGGGUACACGAGCGGCGAACGGGUGAGUAACACGUGGGUGACCUGCCCUCAGCUCUGGGAUAAGCCUGGGAAACUGGGUCUAAUACUGGAUAUGACCUUUCCUCGCAUGGGGUUGGGUGGAAAGUUUUUUCGGCGUGGGGAUGGGCCCGCGGCCUAUCAGCUUGUUGGUGGGGUGAUGGCCUACCAAGGCGACGACGGGUAGCCGGCCUGAGAGGGCGACCGGCCACACUGGGACUGAGACACGGCCCAGACUCCUACGGGGGGCAGCAGUGGGGAAUAUUGCGCAAUGGGCGGAAGCCUGACGCAGCGACGCCGCGUGGGGAUGA